rnacentral:rRNA from 1 species
UACGGGGGGGGCAAGCGUUGUUCGGAAUUAUUGGGCGUAAAGGGCUCGUAGGCGGUUUGUCGCGUCGGGAGUGAAAACCCAGGGCUUAACCCUGGGCUGGCUUUCGAUACGGGCAGACUAGAGGUAUGCAGGGGAGAACGGAAUUCCUGGUGUAGCGGUGAAAUGCGCAGAUAUCAGGAGGAACACCGGUGGCGAAGGCGGUUCUCUGGGCAUUACCUGACGCUGAGGAGCGAAAGUGUGGGGAGCGAACAGG